AGCGAACGCUGGCGGCAGGCUUAACACAUGCAAGUCGAGCGGGCAUCCUUGUGGUGUCAGCGGCAGACGGGUGAGUAACGCGUGGGAACGUGCCCUUCGGUUCGGAAUAACUCAGGGAAACUUGAGCUAAUACCGGAUACGUGCGAGAGCAGAAAGGUUUAUCUGCCGAAGGGUCGGCCCGCGUCUGAUUAGCUAGUUGGUGAGGUUACGGCUCACCAAGGCGACGAUCAGUAGCUGGUCUGAGAGGAUGCUCAGCCACACUGGGACUGAGACGCGGCCCGGACUCCUACGGGAGGGAGCAGUGGGGGAUAUUGGACAAUGGGGGCAGCCCUGAUCCAGCCAUGCCGCGUGAGUGAUGGCGGCCUUAGGGUUGUAAAGCUCUUUUCUCCGGGACGGUAAUGACGGUACCGGAGGAAUAAGCCCCGGCUAACUUCGUG
rnacentral:rRNA from 1 species